rnacentral:lncRNA from 1 species
GGUUGCGGUGGUCCACGAGAUGUUGCUGAGCUUGGCGCACCUACUUAAAGAGGCGGGGAGAACUCUGAGGCAACACGCCAUGGAGGAGGGAGACGAUGUCACGGGCGCGGUUGUUCCACGAUGGGGACGGUGCCAAGAGGAAGAAUCCAAAGCGGGAGAGGGGUCCAGGGCGAGGCGACGACAUGAGGAAGCCCCUUGACAUGGCUAGGUGGUGAUAGCUCGAGGGAACAAACAAGAAGAAACGACCCCAUUUGCCAGACCGCGACAUUGGCAUGCCAAACGCAUGGUCACCGCGUGAACACGACGGCGACACGUGCUCUGACCAUCCAAACCAUGUCUGGGCGAUCGGUCAUUCACCGGAGAGUUCCAAAGAGCAAAGCAACAAGCAUAGGGACACACGAUGUGACCACAC